AAAAAGGGCAUGAAAACAUAAUUAUGCCUCUUUAUAGGGGAAUUGCCUGGAGGAGAAGAAGAAGAAGCUGGCUGUCAAUCUUGCCGGCAGAGAAGAGCGCGCCAGACAUAGGGCGGCCAGGAAAGAU